UGGUUCAUCUAUUGACAACAGUCUGUUGU
rnacentral:piRNA from 1 species